UGGGGAAUAUUGCACAAUGGGCGCAAGCCUGAUGCAGCCAUGCCGCGUGUAUGAAGAAGGCCUUCGGGUUGUAAAGUACUUUCAGCGGGGAGGAAGGGAGUAAAGUUAAUACCUUUGCUCAUUGACGUUACCCGCAGAAGAAGCACCGGCUAACUCCGUGCCAGCAGCCGCGGUAAUACGGAGGGUGCAAGCGUUAAUCGGAAUUACUGGGCGUAAAGCGCACGCAGGCGGUUUGUUAAGUCAGAUGUGAAAUCCCCUGGCUCAACCUGGGAACUGCAUCUGAGACUGGCAAGCUUGAGUCUCGUAGAGGGGGGUAGAAUUCCAGGUGUAGCAGUGAAAUGCGUAGAAAUCUGGAGGAAUACCGGUGGCGGAGGCGGCCGCGUGGACGAAGACUGACGCUCAGGUGCGAAAGAGUGGGGAGCAAACAGG
rnacentral:rRNA from 1 species